rnacentral:rRNA from 1 species
GGACGAACGCUGGCGGCGUGCUUAACACAUGCAAGUUGAACGGGCAUACAUGGAAGCUUGCUGAAGUGUAUGUUAGUAGCGGACGGGUGAGUAAUGCAUGAGGACCUGCCUACCGGAGGGGGACAACAGUUGGAAACGGCUGCUAAUACCCCGUAUGCCGAGAGGUGAAAGGAAUGGAACAUUCCGCCGGGAGAGGGACUCAUGUCCUAUCAGCUAGUUGGUGAGGUAACGGCUCACCAAGGCGACGACGGGUAGCCGGCCUGAGAGGGUGAACGGCCACACUGGAACUGAGAUACGGUCCAGACUCCUACGGGAGGCAGCAGUGGGGAAUAUUGGGCAAUGGGGGAAACCCUGACCCAGCGACGCCGCGUGGGGGAAGACGGCCUUCGGGUUGUAAACCUCUUUUGUACGGGAAGAAGGAAGUGACGGUACUGUACGAAUAAGUCCCGGCUAACUACGUGCCAGCAGCCGCGGUAAUACGUAGGGGACGAGCGUUGUCCGGAAUUACUGGGCGUAAAGGGCGCGCAGGCUGUGCUGCAAGUCAGCUGUUAAAUGUCUGGGCUUAACCCGGGCAUGCGGUUGAGACUGCGGUGCUGGAGUGCUGUAGAGGCAAGUGGAAUUCCCAGUGUAGCGGUGAAAUGCGUAGAUAUUGGGAAGAACACCGGUGGCGAAGGCGGCUUCCUGGCACAAUACUGACGCUCAUGUGCGAAAGCUAGGGCAGCGAACGGGAUUAGAUACCCCGGUAGUCCUAGCCGUAAACGAUGGAUACUAGGUGUGGGUGUCGCAGGGCAUCCGUGCCGCAGUUAACGCGUUAAGUAUCCCGCCUGGGGACUACGGUCGCAAGACUGAAACUCAAAGGAAUUGACGGGGGCCCGCACAAGCGGUGGAGCACGUGGUUUAAUUCGAUGCAAA